rnacentral:rRNA from 1 species
UGGGGAAUUUUGGACAAUGGGCGCAAGCCUGAUCCAGCAAUGCCGCGUGUGUGAAGAAGGCCUUCGGGUUGUAAAGCACUUUUGUCCGGAAAGAAAUCCGUCUGGCUAAUACCCGGACGGGAUGACGGUACCAGAGGAAUAAGCACCGGCUAACUCCGUGCCAGCAGCCGCGGUAAUACGGAGGCUGCAAGCGUUAUCCGGAUUCACUGGGUUUAAAGGGUGCGUAGGUGGGCAGGUAAGUCAGUGGUGAAAUCUCCGGGCUUAACCCGGAAACUGCCGUUGAUACUAUUUGUCUUGAAUAUUGUGGAGGUAAGCGGAAUAUGUCAUGUAGCGGUGAAAUGCUUAGAUAUGACAUAGAACACCAAUUGCGAAGGCAGCUUACUACACUAUCAUUGACGCUGAGGCACGAAAGCGUGGGGAUCAAACAG